rnacentral:rRNA from 1 species
UGGGGAAUAUUGGACAAUGGGCGCAAGCCUGAUCCAGCCAUGCCGCGUGGAUGAUGAAGGCCUUAGGGUUGUAAAGUCCUUUCGGCGGGGAAGAUAAUGACGGUACCCGCAGAAGAAGCCCCGGCUAACUUCGUGCCAUCAGCCGCGGUAAUACGAAGGGGGCUAGCGUUGCUCGGAAUCACUGGGCGUAAAGCGCAUGUAGGCGGACUCUUAAGUCGGUGGUGAAAUCCUGGAGCUCAACUCCAGAACUGCCUUCGAUACUGGGAGUCUCGAGUCCGGGAGAGGUGAGUGGAACUGCGAGUGUAGAGGUGAAAUUCGUAGAUAUUCGCAAGAACACCAGUGGCGAAGGCGGCUCACUGGCCCGGUACUGACGCUGAGGUGCGAAAGCGUGGGGAGCAAACA